CCUGCAAAGAGUGGAUAUUAAUGCAUUUAAUCAUGACUAUGUCUCAUUUAUUCAUCCAAAAUAAGGUAAUGUGUAUGAAUAUUUAGUGCAAGUGAGUGGUAAAAUCACUACUCAUCAGCAAGAUCAUGAAACAUCACUUUCAAAGGAAAAGACAAGGAGUGUGCCUAACGAAUAUAUGAUUAAAAAUCACACAGAGUUCUUAUCAGAGGUUUCCAAACUUGAGAAGUAUGAUGGAACGUCAUCAGAAGAUUUGGAUUCGAGGUCGAAUCCUCUUCACGAAGGGAAAGACGAUACAAUCCAAAUUGACAUCAACGCCUUUGAGCAUAUAAUUCGGGGCCAACACAAGGGAUUUCAAGCCAUGACCAUCUCAGGGAUGCUAAGACAUGUUUGGAGUACCCUUGUUAAGCUCUCACGAGAACCAUAUCAUGUGUGGUUGAUAGCUUGGAAUACGGGAGAAGCUAUAAUUGAAAAUGUCAUCCAAAGGAGUGUUGAGCAUUACUGCAUUUGGAAGAUACGUGGGCCUCGAGAGAGUAUGGGCGCCCUUUGCAUUGUUUAGGCUCUUGGGUCACUUUUGGCACCAAUAGCAUUUUAGGGUCACUUUUGAGCCCAUCUUAUAUUAAAUAGCCCAUGGUUAUAAGUAGCUAGGUUUUCCUUCAUUUUAGGGAGUCGAUGAAUGAUGAAUUUAGAUACACUUGCGAGUGUUUUUGUUGAAACUUGUUGGGAGUUUGUUUGGUUUUCUAGAAAUGUGGGUGCUCGAGAUCCGUUUCCGUUGUGUCCUCGUAAAAGAUUGAUGUUAUUGGUAAUUGAUAGGAAGGUCUAGGAUUUAGUAUACCCUUGGUUUUCCUCUCGUUAUCGACUUAUGUCAAUCUAUCUAUCUUUAACUUUAUCGUUCCAUUUCAUUAUUUCCGUGUUUUUGUGUUUCCGUAUUUAGUGUGUUUCCUUUGUUUUUGUGUCAUUUCCAUUUUCAUAUUUUCGUCUCGUAUCAAGGUGUAAAGAUAGGCACACUCUUGAAGGUAGACAACCAUACGACCAUAAAUUCGCGUGGCAGAUAUGCUCGCAUUUGUGUUCAGGUGCCCUUAGAUCAGCCAAUGCUUCACCACCUAUUCAUUGGAACGCACAAACAAGUGAUUCUCCAUGAAGCAUCGAUACUACUCUACAUAAUUGUGGUCGCCUCGAACAAAUAUCCUACUCCCCGCACAUACCUCCUUAAAAACCUGAUGUAUCAGCUGCUGCGACCGCAAAAAAAUGUACAUGAUGGCGAACAAAUAACUACUAAUCCACCAUCAAUUCUUGAAGAAAAUAGUGAAGAGAAAGAAGGAUGACGGUGAAAUUCUCCAUAAAGGGUAAUAAUACUCGAUGACUUGCAGACACAUCGAACGCAAAUAAAAAAUCGCCAACUCGCCAACUUGAGUUAGACCCACUAAAAAGGCCAGGUAAGCAAUUUGGCUACCACCCCUGCAGGCAGCCAGGUAAGUCCAAUAAUUCUCCAACUUUAAAUCAGCCUGUGACUCAUGAUGACUGCGCUGCUUCUUCUCUGCUGGCACAAAUAAAUUCUUCCAAUAAUCCACCUCUAUCUUCGGAUAAGGACAACACUAAAUAUACCCCCUGUAGUUUAUAUUUUACUACCUGUUCUCACUUAAGCCCUACCCCAACUAUGUCCGACAAUCACAUGACCCCAUCCAACAUUGAUGGCAUGUAGGAGGUUCCCUCCUUUGCUGCUCCUUCCACGUCACAUGCUAAUUCUUUAGUUAGAAAUGUUAAUCAAGGUAAUGAUUACAUUUCAUGUGAUUCAUUAGACUUGUACAUUCCCUUCUGUUUACCCCUCAUAAUCCAUAAUGAGACACCCCUUUAUCUCCAAACGCCCAUGUUAACCAUACCGCUUUCAUCCUUGCUAUAAAUUAUGAACCAUCGUCUCAACUGUCCCUUCACAAGCCUUCACAUACACCACAACACCCUAACAAAUCCACAAACUUCAGCACUUUUAGUUUGCUCAAAUGGAAUAGAAGAACAACCAAGUCCCUCAUCUUGUUUAUGUAUUUACGAAUCCAUCUCUGCUCCACCCACUCCAGUCUUAGAUGCAAGUGGGGUUAAUGGGGUAAGCAAUAACAUUCACUAUGCAAGUGAACGAAUGGGACUAUCUAGUGAUGAUGCAAAAUCCAUGCGACCUAGCCCAUAUCAUCACUGAAGGGAAGAUACUUGGAACGAAAAUAUUUAACAAUACGACGCAGUAGAACUCGACUCUCCCGUCUCUCCUUUUCUACCCUCAGCUUCACGAGGAUCUAGUCCCUUAGUUUUAGCCAUACGUAACUGUGGUGCAGCUGGAUCUCGAGAUAUACCAUGAUACACAGCCUCCUCAUUCACCAUACCAAGCUAAGGAGGGGAGCGACGAAAAUCGACUGGCAACCACCAUGGAAAAUCUGCUGUGGGGACGGAAGGGAUGAUAUUCGCGACUACCUUCUUGGGUCAGGUGCUUGAUGCAUAAACUAGGUAAUUCUCUACUGGAACAUGUGUCCAUAGAACAGAAUAAGUGGACUCAUGUACUUGCAUGGAUGAAUUCAGCUACUUCUAUGCAACUAUUUUGGUAACCUCCUGGAUCCAUAAAGGAUAUUUUGAGUUCUGAUAAAAAUGGAGACUUGAGUUGCUGACGGAUCAGAUAGAUACAUCUGACAAAUUUUUGUUUAAUACUACUAGUCGUAGUUGUCAGGUUGUAAAUACUACUGCUAGGUGUGCUAUUACUACUGCCGGUUCUUGUACAAUUUUCAACAUAAAAUUUUCCUGUAAGACGUUGAAGCAUAUGUAUAUAUAUAAUAUACAUCGUGUUUACCAAAAA